CCUCGGACCCAAAUUUGUCCGUGGCGGCCGACAUGAAGGGCGAUUAUUGUUUUCAUCGUCUUCGUUUGGUGCGAUGAAGUUUCUAUUUAGAGCACGAAGCCUCCUUCGGACCUGUCUGUCGCCUUGUGGAUUUGUGGGUCAUGGAGGGAGAAAAGCGAAGAAGGGGUGGGCGAGGAAAGGUUGUUUUUUUGUAUGUGUGUGGAGCAGCGUUGCAGUGGAUAGAGGUUACCGGACGCCAGGUCUUUUGGUGUGGUGGGGCUGUGACUUUCGUCGCACAAUCCCCUGUGAAUCAUGCUCAUUUGCAUCUCAAACCAGGCUUCGGCCCCUUUUCGUCUCCCCUCUCUUUCCUUCCAUUCUACUCCUGCUCUAGCCUGUCAUAUUCUCACGCAGAUUCCAUGCCCAGACGUGCUACUAGUCUCCGAUUCAUACUCUUCCUUAGCUUAUUUUUGUUUACGGAUUUGUUUAUUUAUUAUGAGUUGAUAACGAGGAAGUCAUUCUAACAACAAAAUGGGUCCACUAGAUAGAUUCCUCGAUGUGAACAACGGGUUGGAUUAUUGUGCCAAACAAAGUUCCGAUUUAAUUUUGGUUCUGCGCAGUUUAAAUGUACCCGGAAUGCUCAUUUUGAGAAUGUCCCAAUGAUUCCGAUUAUGCUGAUUAACCAAAACGUUGGACGGAAAAAAAACUUCUCAUGAGAAAAAGGCACAAGCAACAUUCUUGAGGUGGAAUUCACGCUAGAUUCAUGCUAGCAGGAGAUCCACGGACAUGAACGAACGAAAACUCGGAUGAAGGAGUUGGCUGUGUGAGGGGCAGGUCUGGUUUCUCUUCCACUCUGCUGGGAGCAAGUUGCCAUGAAUUUGCAAGUUCACACUGGCUGUUCACUCUGCCACUCAUCUUCAUGGCCAGCAACGCACACAAUCCAGGGUUCAGGUAGAAAUCUUCAUACACCACCGGUGUCCAUCAUGUGGGUGAUCUCAGUGUAGAGACCUGCAGUGAGCGAGAACGCAAUCGCAACUGCGGUGUGUUCAACGAAAUCCAGGUCUUGUACGCAUGAUCUCUCAUCGACAUGAGUUCUAGUGCCCAGCCCGUGCCGAUGGAUCGAAGAAGAUACCAGUCCAGAUGCGUCACCCAACUGCACGAGAUUCAACAGACAACUAGGUGAUGCCGUAAGCUGUGUGUAUGUGUGUGUGUGUAUGCCAUUCGUCAAGAUUCAAACCUCGGCGAAUCGAACUCAUUCACUUCUUCCUGGACGACACGAGCGGAUGCAUCGAUCAGGACAAUCGCAUCGCCGUAUUGACAAGAUUCUUCGGCGUUGAGGGUGAAAAAAAAGAAAAAAGAAAGAAAAACUGGAGC